UUUUCUGAGAAUGAUGCCCGUUGCAAAACGAAGUAACACAAGACUGGCUCUGAAAUCCCAUUCUGCCUAGUCUUAAUGUUAAAAUGCUUUCCUAGAGCAGAAGGGAAAAAGAGGUAUCAGUGCUUUCGUCCCACAGUUUCUUCUUCACUAAAUGUUACCACUGCCUUUAGAAUGAGUACAUGAAAACACUGCAUUGUAGAAGCAUUAAGUUAAUGCGACUUAGAAAUUAAAUAGUAGCCCGCCUCAUCACACAGAUAAGGUUAGGCUUCUCCAGCCAGGAGCAAUUUCAGUCCUAAUUGUCACAGCUGCCUCAGUGUUGUAAUUUCCGCGCCGCAGCUGCAAGGAGGCAGGGAAGAUUUUUCUCACUGAAUUAAUUCUGGGAAAUUUUCGGUGGUACUUUUCAAAGGCCUUAAAUCACUCUUUUCUAAGAUGUUUUGUUGCUGGUGUCCAGAUGUUCCAGUAAUACUGGAAAGUUAACUAUUCCUUCCAAACCUGUCUCGUUCAAAGUACCUCGAGGAGAAGGGGAAAAAAGGUUCCCACUGGAAAAGUUUCACCGGGGUGGGGUGAGGAUGAGGUCGGAAGAAAACCCCAACAAGUAGCAUUCAUAAUUAUCUAAGUUUCGUUUCCGAAGCUGCACCCGGACGGUCCUCCUCUCCCGUUUCCAGGCCGGGGGGAGACAUGUCUGUCGCCGAGGGGGUUACAGUCACUUAGCUGAGGCCGCCUCCUCUCCAGGAAUCAACCCAGCUCAGAAUCGUGACCCGCUUCCCGAAGUCCGUGACAAGCGGGGGCAGAAGGCAGGUUCUUCUCUCCCCUUCACCCAAACACGUCCCGAAUCGUGCAAGAUCAUUCAACGGAGACGUGGUAACUUUUCUGGAUGGAGCAAUACCUCUUGCUAAUCAGCAUAUACACACCCAGUGUCCUUGCAUGAAGAAACAUCCUGUCUGCAGAAGAUUGCAUCUCAUCUACACAAAGCAGGAGUGGUGUUGUCAGUGUGUGUUUAUUCAAUGGAAUCAACAGCAUGACGGGGAAGUCAAUUCAGUCAUAUGAUGGUGGAUCAGUAUCAUCAUUGCAAAGGAGAGAAGAUUACUGUUAGAUGUAUCACUCUGACUUUCCCCCAUCACUGUGGAAAAAGGAGGGGAAAAACCCUCAAUCAUGAUAGAAAAGAUUCCCUCAGACAUACCUCCUUCAUAAUGACGGUGAGGAUUAUGGAUUAAAAACCCAUCUGUUGACCUUUACUAUCAUGCCUGAAAUAAAGCUCCUAAGGAAAAAAAUGUUAAUUUCAUUUGUAGGAAAGAAGAAAAAAAUGAGUAAAGGAGAGGAAGAAAGAGGAAGAGAAAGAGGGAAAGUGAGUGGAAAUAUUGCUUUAUUCUUAAAAAAAAAUGGGUAUUAAUAAUGGCCAAUCAAUGUUUCAUUUAAACCUGAGUACGUGUGAUGUGGUAUUGACAAGAAUGUAUAUUUUGUGUAUUUGAAGUGGAGAGCUCUAUAAAUAUUUAUUAAGUUUACUUGUUCCGGAUCUGAGUUCGAGUCCUUGAUAUCCUUAUUAAUUUUCU